AAUACAAGAGUGUAGUGUUGGUGAACCCCGUUUUCCCGCUAAAGACCUAGUCUCGUCCACACAUUUUGAAUCCCACAUCCGCAAUAUAGUUAGCAAAACCUUCAAACCAAUCCUAUAAGAAGGCCCAAUACACCAUGGUUUUAAAAACUGGACUGGACCGGUCGAACCGUCAGUCGGUCCGGUCCGGUCAAUUGGACCAAAAAGUGGUCGGGCCGGAAUUGGACUGGUUAAAUCGGUGGUUCGAUCGGCGAACAGGAUGAAUCGGAUGGUUCCUCCAAACCGUCCGGUUCAAUUUUUUUUCCCUCCCACUAUUGUCGUCCCCGCCGGUAAGACCCUCGCGACCCCGCUAAAACCCCCCACCCCCCGCGUUGGAAAACCUUCCCCUUUUUGCCCGCUGGAACCCAUUUCGAGCUUUGUAGCCGCCGAACAUGCUAGUUAGUUGAACCCAACUGAGUUAAACGCUGGAACCCAUUUCGAGCUUUAUUUCUAAUGCAUUUGAUCACAUAAAGUAAAUUGUGUCAAUAAGACUAUGUUUGGUGCUUUGCCCUUGGUCCAACAAUUAUAUUAUGGGACUUCUAUGCAUUUGGAUUUUUAGAUCCAAAUUUCAAUUAUCAGAACCACAAUUUUGUUACAUUCCAAGUGUUUUAAGGAACUCAUGUUGUCCUUCAUUUAGGCAAAACAGUACUUGGACAUUAGGAAUUGAUUUGACUGUUAGGGAUGGUGAUUGCAUUAAGCCACUUCUUAGUCCCGAGAGAAUAGUGGACAAUGUAGCUCCUCCAAAGGUUUGGUCUAACAAAAGGGCCUUGAUUUUAAUGGAAAAGGAGGAAGAAGGGGUGAAUUGUUUGUAAAUAACUACCACAUACAAACAUCUUUUAGCUGCAAAAUUCUUUGCAUGUUACUUUUGAACUUUUGUUCUAAAUUCAUAUUCUAUAUACUUUUGUUAAUGUUGUUCAUUUACUUUUGGUUGAGUAAUUGAAUUGUUUAAGUACUCCUAGGAUUUGGGCUAAUCAAUAAUAAGGGCUUUCAUUCCAAUGGAGAAAGCAAGUCGAUCAGGAAAAGCAAAGUACGUUUGCUUUAAAAAUUUAAAAUUCAUGUGCUCUAGUUCUUCAUUUCGGAAGAAUGUUGGAUUUUCUGAUCACCAGUAUAUUUGUCACUAUCCACUUCUGAUUCAUUGUUUUCUGGAGUCUCUAUUCCUAUCUCUGUGUUCCACACUUCUUCCUAGUGCAGGAUAGGAGAAGUGGAGGAAAAGGUUGAGGAGUUGAUCAUAGAGGUUGGAGUUCCAAAAUCACCUUUUUACCUCUUUCUGGUCCCUGAAUCUAGAGAAAUUUAUGAAAUUCUGUGUCCAUUUACAUUAUCACCUUGAAGGUGUGGAAUGUAUUUAUUGCUGAUAGAAAACUUUGGCUACUAUAUUGAUAAUGACUUUUGUUUUCUUUCCAUUUGUCCAUUUCUUGCUUUGGGAAUUAUAGUUGGAUUGGACUUGAUUUUUGAAAUAUGCAACAUUGCUGUUCAUGACCAUGUUCUACUGAAUACAAAAAUAAAAUGGUGUUAAAUCUAUUUUGUUGCAGACCCAAAACAGCUGGGGAUAAGGUCUUGUGAUGUGUACUGUUGCAAGGGGUUCUUCAUUGGGGAAGAAGAAUUGCCUUUAAUGAUUGGAGCAUCUUCAAAAUCUUGCAUCCAUGCAGACAACAAUGGAAAUUUCUCCUCAUCCCCAACUGUUAGGCUAACAAUCUCUUCCAAUAUGCUAAUCAAGUUGGCAAGCCAACCCAAGGCAAGAUCAAGAAACCUCAUCAUCUCUCCACCAAAGGACUUCUUUCCCUUCAACUUUUCUUCCAAGAACUUCAGUUGGAGAUAUAGCUGAUAAAUAUGACAGAGGAUUCAGUGGACUUUUGAUGGUAACAAAGAUGUUGGACGUAUGAUAUUUGUCUGAAGAGCUUGACAUACCUGUAAACAAAAAAGGGGAAAAUCCUAAUCUUGCUGCUUCAACUCGCAUUCCUAUUGAGAAGGAGAAGGGUUCUUCAAUCACCGACUCAAAGAGAAACCUGGGAGAAUUUCCAGAAGCACAAUGACAGAAGAAGCCACCCCAACCCACAGCCCUUCUGCUUUGAUGACGCUCCUCUGAACCUUAAUUUUCCUUUGCUUUUCUCAGCUGCCAAACAUGUCUGACCCAUCAAUUUUCCCUCUAUUUUCUCGACUUUUCUUUCCCUCAGAGCCGUCAAUGUCUACCAAUUAUUUAUUUAUUUAUUUAUUUUUUAUUCUCUCAACUCUCUGCAACAAAAAAGAGAAAAAAAAAUUGGAUUUUGUUUUAUGCGGGUUUUGUGGAGAUUGUUGAUUGCGUUGGUGUCUGGUUUAUUUGAAACAAACGGGAUUGAAAGAAAAGGGGAGUAGUGGAGCUGUUUAAUUGUAUCUUUCUUCUCUACCGGAGGAAAAUUUGGGGGUGAGAAUUAGGGGUGAAGCUCACUUAGCUUGGUUCAAAAAUUUGGUUUGUCUUUGUACUUGUCUGGCUUCUGAUUGGGAAUUGUUGUGAUAUAUUGAAUAAUUUGGAAAAUGUGAUUUGGGUUUAUC